rnacentral:rRNA from 1 species
UACGAAGGGGGCUAGCGUUGCUCGGAAUCACUGGGCGUAAAGGGCGCGUAGGCGGCCUGUUAAGUCGAACGUGAAAUCCCCGGGCUCAACCCGGGAACUGCGUCCGAUACUGGCAGGCUCGAAUCCGGGAGAGGGAUGCGGAAUUCCAGGUGUAGCGGUGAAAUGCGUAGAUAUCUGGAGGAACACCGGUGGCGAAGGCGGCAUCCUGGACCGGCAUUGACGCUGAGGCGCGAAAGCCAGGGGAGCAAACGGG